rnacentral:piRNA from 1 species
UCCACUUUGAUUUGGUUUCGUAG